rnacentral:rRNA from 1 species
GACGAACGCUGGCGGCGUGGAUUAGGCAUGCAAGUCGAACGGUAUCAUCCUUUCGGGGGUGAGAGAGUGGCGAACUGGUGAGUAACACGUAGGUUAUCUACCCUCAAGACGGGGACAACCCAGGGAAACUUGGGCUAAUACCGGAUGUGAGCAACUUUUAGUUGUUUGAAAGGUGGCGUAAGCUGUCGCUUGGGGAUGAGCCUGCGUCCUAUUAGUUAGUUGGUGAGGUAACGGCUCACCUAGGCAAUGAUAGGUAGGCGGCCUUAACGGGUGGUCGCCCACACUGGGAUUGAGAUACGGCCCAGACUCCUACGGGAGGCAGCAGUCGAGAAUAGUCUACAAUGGUCGGAAGACUGAUAGUGCGACGCCGCGUGAACGAUGAAUCCCUUCGGGGUGUAAAGUUCUUUUAUAUGUGAGCAGUGCUUCUUAUAUUAACAGUAUGGGGAGAGAGAUAUUAGCAUAUGAAUAGCAACGGCUAACUCGUGCCAGCAGCCGACGGU